rnacentral:rRNA from 1 species
UACGUAGGGGGCGAGCGUUGUCCGGAGUUACUGGGCGUAAAGGGCAUGCAGGCGGUCAGGCGCGUUUUGUGUGACAGCGGAUGGCUUAACUGUCCGAGGAUACGAGAUACGGCGUGACUUGAGAGCGCGAGAGGGACACGGAAUUCCGGGUGGAGUGGUGAAAUGCGUAGAGAUCCGGAGGAACACCGAAGGCGAAGGCAGUGUUCUGGCGCGUAUCUGACGCUGAGGUGCGAAAGCCAGGGGAGCGAACGGG